GAAAUGCGAUAACAAGUGUGAAUUGCAGAAUUCCGUGAAUCAUCGAGUCUUUGAACGCACAUUGCGCCCCCUGGUAUUCCGGGGGGCAUGCCUGUCCGAGCGUCAUUGCUGCCCAUCAAGCACGGCUUGUGUGUUGGGUCGUCGUCCCCUCUCCGGGGGGGACGGGCCCCAAAGGCAGCGGCGGCACCGCGUCCGAUCCUCGAGCGUAUGGGGCUUUGUCACCCGCUCUGUAGGCCCGGCCGGCGCUUGCCGAACGCAAAUCAAUCUUUUUCCAGGUUGACCUCGGAUCAGGUAGGGAUACCCGCUGAACUUAAGC
rnacentral:misc_RNA from 1 species